AAAAAAGGCGGAGGAAAGGAGGAAAGAGGGUGGAGAGAGAAGGAGAGAAGGGGGCGAGAGGUAGAGGGGGUGGGUGGAGGGAGGGGCCACCCCCAUGUCUCAGAGUGGCCCUGGCUUCUCCCACCACAGUGUGCUUCCAUGUUGCCAGGGCACUGUUGGAAAAGAGGCACAAUCACAUUCAUAUUUCCACAAUCCCAGCCCAAAGGCCCCCCAAAGCCAGCUUCAACCGCAGAGUGUCUGUGCUGUCAGAGUGGGUAGGCUGGUUUUGGAGGUUGUCCACCUUGCCUUUUCUGUGCUCAGAUUCCAUCCCUUUGUAGUCCUAGAGAGGCUGUGUUCCCGCCCCUCUCAUAUUACUGGUAAGUAUUAUGGACCAGGUAUCUGGAAAGGCCUACAGUUGGAUCCUAGAUGAGGCCGGCACCAAAGAGGAGGAGGAAGGACUGUUCCAUUAGGCCUGAAGCUCCCACAGUGUUGGACUUAGCAGGCUUUCUUGCUGAGGCGGCUGGGAUACCAUUUGGUGUCACCCAGGGGAGUUGGCCACGUGGGCUGAGCACCAGGAGCAGCUAAUGCCUGUCCCACCCAGGCGCCUGAGGCUGGGACCCUCUCCGACCCCAUAAUUUUCUACCCAGGUGGACGUGCACCCAGAGCAGCAUCAGCCCCCAGUACAAUAUCUGCGAGCAGAUGGUUCAGAUCCGGGAUGACCACAUCCGCUUCAUCUCCGAGCUCGCUCGCUACAGCAACAGUGAGGUGGUGACGGGCUCAGGGCUGGACAGC
rnacentral:sRNA from 1 species